GACGGAGGAUGCAAGCGUUAUCCGGAAUUAUUGGGCGUAAAGCGUCCGCAGGUGGACAUACAAGUCUGCUGUCAAAGUGCAGAGCUUAACUCUGUAAAGGCGGUGGAAACUGUAGGUCUUGAGUAUGGUAGGGGUAGAGGGAAUUCCCGGUGUAGCGGUGGAAUGCGUAGAUAUCGGGAAGAACACCAGUGGCGAAAGCGCUCUACUGGGCCAUAACUGACACUGAGGGACGAAAGCUAGGGGAGCGAAAGGG
rnacentral:rRNA from 1 species